CGGCCCCGGGGAGAACCCCGCCGGGGGGCAUCCCGCGGCCUCGGCGGCCUUUCUGACGCUCGCAUCUUUUUCUGAUUUACGCCGUUCGGUCGCUUUGCCGUAAACUCAGUGGGUCUCGCCGGGAGCCGGUUCACGCAGAGGUUGAGCAGAUGGCUCGCGUUCUGACAUGCCGCUGACCCGGGCCGAGGGGAAAACAGAGCCAGACGGCCCGCGGGCUUUGCGGGCAGAGGGGCAGCCGAGCACGGCGGCUGGGGAGCGGGGGGCACACCCAGCCCGCUGCGGGCCGACGUAACGGGGGGCACCGGUAACCGUGAGGCUCAGGUAACCGGGGGGCUCAGGCAAAUGACGUCACUGUAGGGCUGAGGUAACCGGGGGGCUCAGGCAAAUGACGUCACUGUAGGGCUGAAGUAACCGGGGGGGG
rnacentral:lncRNA from 1 species